rnacentral:rRNA from 1 species
UGCUACGACAUGAAAACAGAGGGUUCGAUUUCGGUCGAUUGAACGCUGGCGGAUACGCGGCGACAUGCAAGUCGAACGCAGCACGACCUUCGGUCUGGUGGCGAGGGCGAACGGGUGAUAAUACUGAACGGGGCAGCCAGUAGUGGGGAUAACGACGCGAAGGUGAAGCAUAUCGCAUAUUCUUCGGGCGGGGACCUUCGGGCCUCGCAAACACUAUUAGAGCGGCCGAUAUCGGAUUAGCUAGUUAGUGGGUAAACGGCUCACCGCUGGCGACGAUCCGUAGCUGGUUUGAGAGGACGACCAGCCACACUGGGGACUGAGACACGGCCCAGACUCCUACGGGAGGCAGCAGGGGAAUUGGAUAAAUGGGGAAACCCUGAUCCAGCCAUCCCGCGUGUGCGGCGAAGGCCUUCGGGUUAGAAGUACCCCGGCAGGAAGAAACGGCACGGAUAAUACCCGCGCAACUGACGGUACCUGCAGAAUAAGCACCGGCUAACUACGUGCCAGCAGCCGCGGUAAUACGUAGGGUGCAAGCGUUAACGGAAUUACUGCUGCAAAGCGUGCGCAGGCGGUUCGGAAAGAAAGAUGUGAAAUCCCAGAGCUUAACUUUGGAACUGCAUUUUUAACUACCGAGCUAGAGUGCGUCAGAGGGAGGUGGAAUUCGCGUAGCAGUGAAAUGCGUAGAUAUGCGGAGGAACACCGAUGGCGAAGGCAGCCUCCCUGGGAUAACACUGACGCUCAUGCACGAAAGCGUGGGGAGCAACACAGGAUUAGAUACUCCUGGUAGUCCACGCAUUCUAAACGAUGUCAACUAGCUGUUGGGGCCUUCGCCUUGUAGCGCAGCUAACGCGUGAAGUUGACCGCCUGGGGAGUACGGUCGCAAGAUUAAAACUCAAAGGAAUUGACGGGGACCCGCACAAGCGGUGGAUGAUGUGGAUUAAUUCGAUAACGCGAAAACCUUACCUACCCUUGACAUGUCUGGAAUCCCGAAGAGAUUUGGGAGUGCUCGGGAGAACCGGAACACAGGUGCUGUGCAUGGCUGUCGUCAGUUCGUGUCGUGAGAUGUUGGGUUAAGUCCCGCAACGAGCGCAACCCUUGUCAUUAGCUGCUACGAAAGGGCACUGGACGAGACUGCCGGUGACAAACCGGAGGAAGGUGGGGAUGACGUCAAGUCCUCAUGGCCUCUUAUGGGUAGGGCUUCACACGUCAUACAAUGGUCGGGACAGUGGUCGCCAACCCCGCGAGGGGGAGCCAAUCCCAGAAACCCGAUCGUAGUCCGGAUCGCAGUCUGCAACUCGACUGCGUGAAGUCGGAAUCGCUGUGUAAUCGCGGAUCAGCAUGUCGCGGUGAAUACGUUCCCGGUCUUGUACACACUGCCCGUCACACCAUGGGAGUGGGUUUUACCAGAAGUAGUUAGGCCUAACCGUAAGGAGGGCGAUUACCACUUUUGCAGAACACAUCUGGGGUGUGUCGCACAAAGGUAA